UGGGAGGGUCGGCCAAAGCUUGCCUUAGACACCAUCAAAAAUGGCCAGGUAAGCGGGCUCCCAAUUAAAAAACACCGAUUUGGUUUAUCUUAGACACCAACUAGUUUAAUUAGUUUCGAUUAGAUCAAUCUAACAGUUCGUACUAGACCACUUAGCCAAGAAUCAAGUCCAUUUGGUUCUCGUUAAAGAUAUGGACUUGACCAACUACAACUAUUGUAAUUGAUCUAGAGAAUCCUUGACCUAAUCUAAGAUAACAAUUGAUUAG
rnacentral:lncRNA from 1 species